rnacentral:rRNA from 1 species
AUUGAACGCUGGCGGCAUGCUUUACACAUGCAAGUCGAACGGUAACAGGCCGCAAGGUGCUGACGAGUGGCGAACGGGUGAGUAAUGUAUCGGAACGUGCCCAGUCGUGGGGGAUAACGCCGCGAAAGCUGCGCUAAUACCGCAUACGUUCUAUGGAUGAAAGCGGGGGACCGUAAGGCCUCGCGCGAUUGGAUCGGUCGAUAUGAGACUAGGUAGUUGGUGGGGUAAAGGCGCACCAAGCAAACGAGCUGUAGCUGGUCUGAGAGGACGACCAGCCACACUGGGACUGAGACACGGCCCAGACUCCUACGGGAGGCAGCAGUGGGGAAUUUUGGACAAUGGGCGCAAGCCUGAUCCAGCAAUGCCGCGUGCAGGAAGAAGGCCUUCGGGUUGUAAACUGCUUUUGUACGGAACGAAACGGCCUGGGUUAAUACCUCGGGCUAAUGACGGUACCGUAAGAAUAAGCACCGGCUAACUACGUGCCAGCAGCCGCGGUAAUAC